ACAGUCUACCCGGACAGGCCGACUACUGUAUGUCGCACUGGACGGGCAGGCCGCCC
rnacentral:precursor_RNA from 1 species